rnacentral:piRNA from 1 species
UCUGUCCAUGAGAAAAUACUAAU